GAUGAACGCUGGCGGCGUGCCUAAUACAUGCAAGUCGAGCGAACGGACGAGAAGCUUGCUUCUCUGAUGUUAGCGGCGGACGGGUGAGUAACAUGUGGAUAACCUACCUAUAAGACUGGGAUAACUUCGGGAAACCGUAGCUAAUACCGGAUAAUAUUUUGAACCGCAUGGUUCAAAAGUGAAAGACGGUCUUGCUGUCACUUAUAGAUGGAUCCGCGCUGCAUUAGCUAGUUGGUAAGGUAACGGCUUACCAAGGCAACGAUGCAUAGCCGACCUGAGAGGGUGAUCGGCCACACGGGAACGGAGACCCGGCCCAGACUCCUACGGGAGGAAGCAGUAGGGAAUCUUCCGCAAUGGGCGAAAGCCGGACGGAGCAACGCCGCGUGAGUGAUGAAGGUCUUCGGAUCGUAAAACUCUGUUAUUAGGGAAGAACAUAUGUGUAAGUAACUGUGCACAUCUUGACGGUACCUAAUCAGAAAGCCACGGCUAACUACGUG
rnacentral:rRNA from 1 species